AGUGUCUUCACAGGUACUCACAUAGGUGGGCUGAGAUGUUAUUAUUGGCAGUCACUGCAUUUUACCCACCAGGUGCACAAGCACAUACAGCAUGUAACUCAUGGAUCUUGAUUCGACUGAGAGUUCGGGAUAAGCAUGGGUCAUGGAGCUGGCACUGCAUAGUGCACUCCUCUCUGCAGUGCUCUGUUGUCACCAAUGCAGCCCGCGCUCGAGCUGCACACAGUUGAUUCCUGGAAAAUAAUGCUAAAAAAUCACACAAUAACAUAAGUUUUAUGUUAAAAGUUUUGGGAUGCAUUGCUGUCUGUCCUGGGCUAUGUGCAGCUUGUGUGGGCUAUAGACUUGCCUGACAUAUACUGUUGGAGAAUGAGUGUAUUUCUCAGGUAAAGCCGAUGUGGGUGCAGAGGUUGUGUGUGGGUGAUCAUCCUCCGUGGUUCCAAGAGCAGUUACCUCUUAAUACAAUGUUUAAAAUCGAAAGUACUGGGUCUAAAUUCUAUUUAUUUAGAUAAUUCUAAGUUUAUUCUAAAUAAAUUCCAAAAGUUUCUGUUCAUCAGACAGGGUCUGUAAGAUGAACAUGUAUUAUCAAGGAUAAUAUCCAAAGUCAGAAAAUGCUAAGCAGUCCUUCUAAAUACUCAGGAAAAAGUAGGUUGGGGGAUGAGGCCGCUGGAAGAGACUCAUGGGGUGCGCAUAGUUUUCAGUAUGAGUUGGCAUAAAUAGGCUCUCAAUAUCAUUUUUGACUUUAUUAACAGAAAAGCAGGAAGUUAAUAUCAAAAAUUAGAGGUAAGCUCUUGUAACUAAUUCUUGUGUAUUCCCUUCUUCAUAAUGCUAUUUUAUAUCUUGGAAAAUAAAAAGUACACAGUUCUCCAUACAAAUCUUAGGAAAAUAAAAUGUAUGUUCAAAUACAAUUGAAGCACAGUUAUGUCAUGUGUGUAAACAGGGCAAAUAUCAAAAUUGUCAAGCCAUUUAAUCUUGUAAGAUGAACAGAUGAUCCUUUAAUACUUAAUAGUAACAGUAAAGACAUUCAAGAUGAGAUGGACUCUGUGUAUAUAAUAUUUGUGUGAAAAAAAAUAUUCUCUGACUACGACACGGUCCCAAGGCCUGUACCAACUUUCAUAUUAGAAUAGAAAUAGCAGUUCAGGUCUUUGUAAUUCGCUUCUGCAUUGUAUUCUUACACCCAACCAACACCUGGUACACAAAGAAUGCAGAGGUUUUAGGAGCAUCACAUUCAAAUUAACAAUUCCACAUGCAUUUUUAAUCAACUCCCUCAGCACUGAAAUAAACAAAAAUGACUUAACGGGAAGAGAUUUUUUUUCAUCUGGAUCUUAAUGAGUUAAGAUCUUCUACCUCUAUCAUUUCCUCUGAAGCUAGGACCAAGUUUAUUUUUACAGCUGAAUUCUCAAAUAAUAGCUUAGUGAUGGGGAUGGAGUGUUUGCUACGACUAGAGAUUUCAUGUUAUGCUCUUCUAAGAAGAGGAAGAAGAAGAAGAAGGGGAAAGAAGAUAAUAAGGAAAGAUGCUGACUUUUGAAAAGUAGGGGAAGAAUGUUAAUUUUUCCAAGGUAAAUUCCUCCUAUUACCUUAAAAGCGAGUCAUCUAUCCACCCAGUGAGCAUAGUUCCCUUUCAGAGCUCUUAAUUAUUUUUUUUUUUAAUCUCUUUCUUCCUUCAUCAGAUGCUUUCCUUUGGUAGCUGCCUUAAAAGGGCUUAAAUUCUUCUAGUGACUGUCUGAUUGCCUCAUUUCAUAUCACACAUUUCUUUGGCUGAAAAUAAUGUUGUAAGCACUAGCUUUUUCUUCAGAUAGGAUUUUUAGAAUGCAGAUUUGGAACAGGAAGGCUGAAAAAUAGAAGGUUAUACUUCUGAUCCCAUAGCAAUUAUUAACUGUGAUUGCACACUCCACUAGUUACAAACA
ensembl:lncRNA